rnacentral:rRNA from 1 species
UACGUAGGGUGCAAGCGUUGUCCGGAAUUAUUGGGCGUAAAGAGCUCGUAGGCGGUCUGUCGCGUCUGCUGUGAAAACUCGGGGCUUAACCCCGGGCCUGCAGUGGGUACGGGCAGACUAGAGUGCGGUAGGGGAGACUGGAAUUCCUGGUGUAGCGGUGAAAUGCGCAGAUAUCAGGAGGAACACCGGUGGCGAAGGCAGAUCUCUGGGCCGUAACUGACGCUGAGGAGCGAAAGCAUGGGGAGCGAACAGG